rnacentral:rRNA from 1 species
UACGUAGGGGGCAAGCGUUGUCCAGAAUCAUUGGGCGUAAAGAGCGUGUAGGCGGUCCUGUAAGUCCGCUGUGAAAGUCAAGGGCUCAACCCUUGAAUGCCGGUGGAUACUGCAGGACUAGAGUCCGGAAGAGGCGAGUGGAAUUCCUGGUGUAGCGGUGAAAUGCGCAGAUAUCAGGAGGAACACCGGUGGCGAAGGCGGGACUCUGGGCCGAUACUGACGCUGAGGAGCGAAAGCGUGGGGAGCAAACAGG